rnacentral:tRNA from 1 species
UCAUUAAGAAGCUAAAUUAGYACUAGCCUUUUAAGCUAGAGAUUGAGAGUNCAAUACUYUCCUUAAUG